CGGGGCUAAACAUAUUACCGAAGCUGUGGAUUGUCCUUUGGACAAUGGUAGGAGAGCGUUCUAAGGGCGUCGAAGCAUGAUCGCAAGGACAUGUGGAGCGCUUAGAAGUGAGAAUGCCGGUGUGAGUAGCGAAAGACGGGUGAGAAUCCCGUCCACCGAUUGACUAAGGUUUCCAGAGGAAGGCUCGUCCGCUCUGGGUUAGUCGGGUCCUAAGCUGAGGCCGACAGGCGUAGGCGAUGGAUAACAGGUUGAUAUUCCUGUACCACCUAGUAUCGUUUUAAUCGAUGGGGGGACGCAGUAGGAUAGGCGAAGCGUGCUGUUGGAGUGCACGUCCAAGCAGUAAGGCUGAGUGUUAGGCAAAUCCGGCACUCAUAAGGCUGAGCUGUGAUGGGGAGAGGAAAUUGUUUCCUCGAGUCGUUGAUUUCACACUGCCGAGAAAAGCCUCUAGAUAGAUAACAGGUGCCCGUACCGCAAACCGACACAGGUAGUCAAGAUGAGAAUUCUAAGGUGAGCGAGCGAACUCUCGUUAAGGAACUCGGCAAAAUGACCCCGUAACUUCGGGAGAAGGGGUGCUCUUUAGGGUUCACGCCCAGAAGAGCCGCAGUGAAUAGGCCCAAGCGACUGUUUAUCAAAAACACAGGUCUCUGCUAAACCGUAAGGUGAUGUAUAGGGGCUGACGCCUGCCCGGUGCUGGAAGGUUAAGAGGAGUGGUUAGCUUCUGCGAAGCUACGAAUCGAAGCCCCAGUAAACGGCGGCCGUAACUAUAACGGUCCUAAGGUAGCGAAAUUCCUUGUCGGGUAAGUUCCGACCCGCACGAAAGGCGUAACGAUUUGGGCACUGUCUCAACGAGAGACUCGGUGAAAUCAUAGUACCUGUGAAGAUGCAGGUUACCCGCGACAGGACGGAAAGACCCCGUGGAGCUUUACUGUAGCCUGAUAUUGAAAUUCGGCACAGCUUGUACAGGAUAGGUAGGAGCCUUUGAAACGUGAGCGCUAGCUUACGUGGAGGCGUUGGUGGGAUACUACCCUAGCUGUGUUGGCUUUCUAACCCGCACCACUUAUCGUGGUGGGAGACAGUGUCAGGCGGGCAGUUUGACUGGGGCGGUCGCCUCCUAAAAGGUAACGGAGGCGCUCAAAGGUUCCCUCAGAAUGGUUGGAAAUCAUUCAUAGAGUGUAAAGGCAUAAGGGAGCUUGACUGCGAGACCUACAAGUCGAGCAGGGUCGAAAGACGGACUUAGUGAUCCGGUGGUUCCGCAUGGAAGGGCCAUCGCUCAACGGAUAAAAGCUACCCCGGGGAUAACAGGCUUAUCUCCCCCAAGAGUUCACAUCGACGGGGAGGUUUGGCACCUCGAUGUCGGCUCAUCGCAUCCUGGGGCUGUAGUCGGUCCCAAGGGUUGGGCUGUUCGCCCAUUAAAGCGGUACGCUAGCUGGGUUCAGAACGUCGUGAGACAGUUCGGUCCCUAUCCGUCGUGGGCGUAGGAAAUUUGAGAGGAGCUGUCCUUAGUACGAGAGGACCGGGAUGGACAUACCUCUGGUGUACCAGUUGUCGUGCCAACGGCAUAGCUGGGUAGCUAUGUAUGGACGGGAUAAGUGCUGAAAGCAUCUAAGCAUGAAGCCCCCCUCAAGAUGAGAUUUCCCAACUUCGGUUAUAAGAUCCCUCGAAGAUGACGAGGUUAAUAGGUUCGAGGUGGAAGCGUGGUGACACGUGGAGCUGACGAAUACUAAUCGAUCGAAGACUUAAUCAAUUUUUAAA
rnacentral:rRNA from 1 species